AUGCCGCUGCGGCUGCCGCGUCACCGCCGCCACCUCGCGCCGGCACCAUGCGUCGGCCAGAGCCGUGCGGCGGCUUCGUGGGCCGCCGCCGUAGCCGACCACGCGCGCGCAGGCCGCCACGCCGCCGCGCUCACCGUCUUCCGACGCGUCCUCGCCGCCCACCCGGCCGCGGCCGCCGACGAGCUCGCCUACUCGGCGCUCCUCCGCUGCCGCGACGCCCGCCUGGGCUAUCAGAUACACGCGCAGGCGUGCCGCCGGGGCCUCGCCGCCUCCAACCCCGUCCUCGCCUGCUCCCUGCUCGCCUUCUACUCCGCCGCCCGCUCCGACCUCCCGGCCGCCGCCAGGCUGUUCGACGAAAUGCCAAUGCCGCGGAGGGACGCCGUCGCCUACACCGCCAUGAUGUCGGCUUUCAUCCGCGCCGGCGACUGGGCCCGGGCCCUGGCGCUCUACCCUCGCAUGCUCGCCGCCGGCGACGCGCCGCCCACCGAGCACACCUUCGCCAACCUGCUGGCACUCUGCGCCUCCAGGCAGCUGUGCUGCCACGGGAGGCAGCUCCACGCGCAGCUCCUCCGCUGGGGGGCCGACCUCAACCUGGUGCUCAAGACCGCGCUCCUCCACAUGUACUCCAGCUGUGGCUUCAUGGACCACGCGCACGCCGUGCUCUGCUCCACGCCCGACACGGACGUCGUGCUCUGGACGGCCAUGAUUGCCGGCUACUCACGCGCAGGAGACCUCCAGGCCGCUCUGCGCAUGUUCCGUCACAUGGAACAGGCUGGCGUGCUGCCCAGUGCCUUCACCUUCUCCGGGAUCAUCACCGCCUGUGCUUCUUCUUCCUCUGCCCAGCCCCAGGCGUCACAGACUGGACGGCAGCUCCAUGCCCGCGUCUUCAAGUUUGCUCUGGAGCACGACAUCUCUGUCUGCAACGCGCUCGUCGACUUGUACAGCAAGUCGUCCGCCCGUCUGCUCGACCUGCUCCAUGCGUUCAGUGCCACAGACAGCCCGAAUGUGGUGUCCUGGACUGCCUUGAUCUCUGGACUUGCACGCCAUGGCAGAGACAAGGAUGCAUUUGCGGCGUUCGCAGAGAUGCGGGCCAGCGAGGUGCAACCCAACUCAUUCACCGUCUCCACCCUUCUCAAGGGCUGUGGCUCCUCAGAAUCUUUCCUACAUGCUACAAAAAUCCAUGCUUAUGUGCUCAAGACCAGCCUUGGGUCUUUGGAUGUGUCUGUUGGGAACUCGCUGGUCGAUCUUUAUUCCAGGUUUGCAAGAAUGGAUGACGCGUGGGCAGUCGCGACAACAAUGGUCUGUGCAAGGGACAACCUCACAUACACAAGCCUUGCAAAGGGGCUGAAUCAGAUCGGCCUUCCAAGCAAGGCCCUUGAGUUGGUGGUCCUCAUGUUUCGUGAGGAGGUUCGUAUCGACGGUUUCAGUCUCGCCUGCUUCCUCUCUGCCGCUGCGACCUUGCCAUCCGUAGUGCCUGGAAAGCACUUGCACUGCUGCUCGCUGAAAUUGGGAUUGAGCAGUCAGGUCCCAGUUUCCAACAGCCUUAUCAACAUGUACAGCAAGCAUAAGUGUGUGGAGGAUGCUAAGAGCGUUUUCCACUCAAUCAGGGAGCCAAGUGUCGUGUCGUGGAACGCACUAAUAUCUGGGCUGGCAUACAACAAUGAGUGCUAUUAUGAAGCGCUGUCGGUUUUCGAAGACAUGACAUUGGCUGGGGCACAGCCUGAUAGUAUCACUUUCUCUGCUGUGCUUUAUGCCUGCACUCAUGGUGGCUUCGUUGACAUUGGCAUCAACCAUUUCAACUCUAUGAGGAAUUCGUUUGGUGUUUCCCCACAAAGGAGCCACUACACGCUCUUUCUGGAUAUGUUAGGACGAGCGGGUCGUCUUACGGAGGCGGCAUGCACCAUUGAGGCCAUGCCCAUCCGUCCUGACGUGUCCAUGUACAAGAAUCUGUUAGCAUUUUGCGAGCUCCAUAAUGAUCUGGUUGUUGCAGAAAAUAUCACAAGGAAGGCACUGGAGUUAUACCCAUCGGACACAGUAUUUCAGAAUACCCUUUCAGGCAUCAGUGGUGCUCCUUGGAAACAUGAGUGUGGUGCUCCAUGGAAACACAGGAUGAAGAGUGAUGCAGAUAUUCAAGCUAAAGCCUAA
rnacentral:rRNA from 1 species